GAUUCCUGGGGUUCUGGGGAUUGCUGGUCAUGGAGUGUGGGUGUCCCUGACACUGGGUGUCCCUGGAGUUCCUGGUCAUUGUGUCCCUGUCACUGAGUGACCUCAGGGAUUCCUGGUCAUUGUGUGUGUCCCUGUCACUGGGUGUCCCUAAGGAUUCCUGGUCAUUGUGUGUGUCCCUGUCACUGGGUGUCCCUGGAGUUCCUGGUCACUGAGUGUGUCCCCCUAUCACUGGGUGUCCCCAAGGAUUCCUGGUCACUGAGGGACCCCAGGGAUUCCUGGUCAUUGAGUGUGUGUCCCCCUGUCACUGGGUGUCCCCAGGGAUUCCUGGUCCAUUGAGUGUGUCCCUGUCACUGAGUGACCCCAGGGAUUCCUGGUCACUGAGUGUGUCCCUGUCACGAGGUGUCCCUGGAGUUCCUGGUCAUUGAGUGUGUCCCGGUCACUGAAUGUCCCCAGGGAUUCCUGGUCAUGGAGUUUGUGUGUCCCUGUCACUGGGUGUCCCAGGGAUUCCUGGUCAUUGUGUCCCUGUCACUGAGUGUCCCCAGGGAUCCCUGGUCUCUGGGUGUCCCUGGGGGUUCCCAUGGUGUUUCCCAGGAAUUCCUGUGGUGCUCCCCCAGGAUUCUUGGUCACUCAAUGUCCCCAGGGAUCCCUGGUCACUGAGUGUGUGUCCCCCUGUCACUGGGUGUCCCUGGGGAUUGCUGGUCACUGAGUGUGUCCCCAUCACUGAGUGCUUCAGGGGUUCUGGGGAUUCCUGGUCACUGAGUGUGUCCCUGUCACUGAGUGUCCCCAGGGAUUCCUGGUCAUUGAGUGUGUGUCCCCCUGACACUGGGUGUCCCUGGAGUUCCUGGUCACUGAGUUUGUCCCUGUCACUGAGUGUCCCCAGGGAUUCCUGGUCAUUGAGUGUGUCCCGGUCACUGGGUGUCCCUGGGGAUUCUGUGAAUUCCUGGUCACUGAGUGUGUGUGUCCCUGUCACUGAGUGCCCCCGGGGCUUCUGGGGACUCCUGGUCACUCAGUGUCCCCCUGUCACUGAGUGACCCCAGGGAUUCCUGUGGUACGUGGCCACUGUCCCUGGGGAUUCCCAAUGACUGAGUGUCCCCAGGGAUUCCCAUGG
rnacentral:lncRNA from 1 species